CGUCCCUGCUCCUUGCACACACCGCCCGUCGUUUCAUUGAAGUGAGCUCUUAGUGAGGUGACGUCUAAUUGGCGUUAUCGAACUUGGGGUUCGUGACAAGGGAAAAGUCGUAACAAGGUAACCACAACAGGUACGGGCUCUGAGAGGAGUAGCCCGGAGAUGGGUACUGAGACACGGACCCAGGCCCUAUGGGGCGCAGCAGGCGAGAAAACUUUGCAAUGUGCGAAAGCACGACAAGGUUAAUCCGAGUGAUUUGUGCUAAACGAAUCUUUUGUUAGUCCUAGAACCACUAACGAAUAAGGGGUGGGCAAGUUCUGGUGUCAGCCGCCGCGGUAAAACCAGCACCUCAAGUGGUCAGGAUGAUUAUUGGGCCUAAAGCAUCCGUAGCCGGCUCUGUAAGUUUUCGGUUAAAUCUGUACGCUUAACGUACAGGCUGCCGGGAAUACUGCAGAGCUAGGGAGUGGGAGAGGUAGACGGUACUCGGUAGGAAGGGGUAAAAUCCUUUGAUCUAUUGAUGA
rnacentral:rRNA from 1 species